GCUGGGCAUGGUGGCAUCUGCCUGUAGUCCCAAAUACUUACUGGGGAGGCUAAAGUGGGAGGAUCUUUCCAGUCCAGGCAUUCUGGGCUAUAGUGCACUAUGCUGAUUGGGGUCCACACUAAGUUUGGCAUCAAUAUGGUGACCUCCCUGGGAACAGAAAACCACCAGGUUGCCUAAAGAGGGAUGAACUGGCCCAGGUCAGAAACAGAGUAGGUCAAAACUCCUAUACUGAACAGCAGUGGAGUUGCACCUGUGUAUAGCCACUGCAUUCCAGCCUCAGCAACGUAGUGAGACCUUGUCU
rnacentral:SRP_RNA from 10 species